UAUGAGCCAGGAAAGACUUGCCAAACUGCAGGCACAAGUGCGCAUUGGUGGGAAAGAAAUGGUUCACAGAAAGAAGAAGGCGGUUCAUAGAACAGCCACAGCAGAUGAUAAAAAACUUCAGUUCUCCUUAAAGAAGUUAGAGGUAAACAAUGUCUCUGGUAUUGAAGAGGUGAAUAUGUUUACAAACCAAGGAACAGUGAUCCACUUUAACAGCAGAGAUGCCAGCAAACUCUUUCACCAUUACAGGCCAUGCUGAGACAAAGCAGCUGAUGGAAAUGCUACCCAGCAUCUUAAACCAGCUUGGUGCACACUGUCUGACUAGUUUAAGGAGACUGGCUGAAGCUCUGCCCAAACAGUCUGUGAAUGGAAAAGCACCACUUGCUACUGGAGAGGAUGACGAUGAAGUUCCAGCUC
rnacentral:lncRNA from 1 species